GACGUAGGGUGCGAGCGUUGUCCGGAUUUAUUGGGCGUAAAGAGCUCGUAGGCGGCUCGUCGCGUCGACCGUGAAAUCCCUCAGCUUAACUGGGGAACUGCGUCUGAUACUGGAUGGCUUGAGAUUGGGAGAGGGAUGCGGAAUUCCAGGUGUAGCGGUGAAAUGCGUAGAUAUCUGGAGGAACACCGGUGGCGAAGGCGGCAUCCUGGACCAACACUGACACUGAGGAGCGAAAGCCAGGGGAGCAAACGGG
rnacentral:rRNA from 1 species